rnacentral:rRNA from 1 species
UUUUACUCCUUACGGGAGGCAGCAGUGGGGAAUAUUGCACAAUGGGCGAAAGCCUGAUGCAGCGACGCCGCGUGAGGGAUGACGGCCUUCGGGUUGUAAACCUCUUUCAGUAGGGAAGAAGCCCUCUUUGGGGGUGACGGUACUUGCAGAAGAAGCGCCGGCUAACUACGUGCCAGCAGCCGCGGUAAUACGUAGGGCGCAAGCGUUAUCCGGAAUUAUUGGGCGUAAAGAGCUCGUAGGCGGUUUGUCGCGUCUGCUGUGAAAGACCGGGGCUCAACUCCGGUUCUGCAGUGGGUACGGGCAGACUAGAGUGCAGUAGGGGAGACUGGAAUUCCUGGUGUAGCGGUGAAAUGCGCAGAUAUCAGGAGGAACACCGAUGGCGAAGGCAGGUCUCUGGGCUGUAACUGACGCUGAGGAGCGAAAGCAUGGGGAGCGAACAGGAUUAGAUACCCUGGUAGUCCAUGCCGUAAACGUUGGGCACUAGGUGUGGGGGACAUUCCACGUUUUCCGCGCCGUAGCUAACGCAUUAAGUGCCCCGCCUGGGGAGUACGGCCGCAAGGCUAAAACUCAAAGGAAUUGACGGGGGCCCGCACAAGCGGCGGAGCAUGCGGAUUAAUUCGAUGCAACGCGAAGAACCUUACCAAGGCUUGACAUGGACCGGAAAGACCCUGAAACCAGG